rnacentral:rRNA from 1 species
GUGGUAUCCUGUCUGAAUAUGGGGGGACCAUCCUCCAAGGCUAAAUACUCCUGACUGACCGAUAGUGAACCAGUACCGUGAGGGAAAGGCGAAAAGAACCCCGGCGAGGGGAGUGAAAAAGAACCUGAAACCGUGUACGUACAAGCAGUGGGAGCACGCUUAGGCGUGUGACUGCGUACCUUUUGUAUAAUGGGUCAGCGACUUAUAUUCUGUAGCAAGGUUAACCGAAUAGGGGAGCCGAAGGGAAACCGAGUCUUAACUGGGCGUUAAGUUGCAGGGUAUAGACCCGAAACCCGGUGAUCUAGCCAUGGGCAGGUUGAAGGUUGGGUAACACUAACUGGAGGACCGAACCGACUAAUGUUGAAAAAUUAGCGGAUGACUUGUGGCUGGGGGUGAAAGGCCAAUCAAACCGGGAGAUAGCUGGUUCUCCCCGAAAGCUAUUUAGGUAGCGCCUCGUGAAUUCAUCUCCGGGGGUAGAGCACUGUUUCGGCAAGGGGGUCAUCCCGACUUACCAACCCGAUGCAAACUGCGAAUACCGGAGAAUGUUAUCACGGGAGACACACGGCGGGUGCUAACGUCCGUCGUGAAGAGGGAAACAACCCAGACCGCCAGCUAAGGUCCCAAAGUCAUGGUUAAGUGGGAAACGAUGUGGGAAGGCCCAGACAGCCAGGAUGUUGGCUUAGAAGCAGCCAUCAUUUAAAGAAAGCGUAAUAGCUCACUGGUCGAGUCGGCCUGCGCGGAAGAUGUAACGGGGCUAAACCAUGCACCGAAGCUGCGGCAGCGACGCUGAUGCGUUGUUGGGUAGGGGAGCGUUCUGUAAGCCUGUGAAGGUGUGCUGUGAGGCAUGCUGGAGGUAUCAGAAGUGCGAAUGCUGACAUAAGUAACGAUAAAGCGGGUGAAAAGCCCGCUCGCCGGAAGACCAAGGGUUCCUGUCCAACGUUAAUCGGGGCAGGGUGAGUCGACCCCUAAGGCGAGGCCGAAAGGCGUAGUCGAUGGGAAACAGGUUAAUAUUCCUGUACUUGGUGUUACUGCGAAGGGGGGACGGAGAAGGCUAUGUUGGCCGGGCGACGGUUGUCCCGGUUUAAGCGUGUAGGCUGGUUUUCCAGGCAAAUCCGGAAAAUCAAGGCUGAGGCGUGAUGACGAGGCACUACGGUGCUGAAGCAACAAAUGCCCUGCUUCCAGGAAAAGCCUCUAAGCAUCAGGUAACAUCAAAUCGUACCCCAAACCGACACAGGUGGUCAGGUAGAGAAUACCAAGGCGCUUGAGAGAACUCGGGUGAAGGAACUAGGCAAAAUGGUGCCGUAACUUCGGGAGAAGG